GGGGUGAGUUCUGCGGUGUUGUCAUGUCCCGUUGUGUGUGGGGUUGGCGUUGAACUGCCCUACUGUGUGCACGUGUGUGUGUGUACACAAGGUUACAUGAUGUUGGAGCCUAUCUGUUGGCUGACGAGGAGUGCAGUCUGAUCCAGCAGGUUCACGCCAUCAGUAAUGUAGAGGAGUCUAUCUACAUGGAGUCUUCUGUCCAGCCCUAUGGGCCCCAGGCCAGGUAAAACACAGCAUGGAGUCUUCUGUCCAGCCCUAUGGGCCCCAGGCCAGGUAAAACACAACAUGGAGUCUUCUGUCUAGUCCUAUGGGCCCCAGGCCAGGUAAAACACAGCAUGGAGUCUUCUGUCUAGUCCAAUGGGCCACAGGCCAGGUAAAACACAGCAUGGAGUCUUCUGUCUAGUCCAAUGGGCCCCAGGCCAGGUAAAACACAACAUGGAGUCUUCUGUCUAGUCCUAUGGGCCCCAGGCCAGGUAAAACACAGCAUGGAGUCUUCUGUCCAGCCCUAUGGGCCCCAGGCCAGGUAAAACACAGCAUGGAGUCUUCUGUCCAGCCCUAUGGGCCCCAGGCCAGGUAAAACACAGCAUGGAGUCUUCUGUCUAGUCCAAUGGGCCCCAGGCCAGGUAAAACACAACAUGGAGUCUUCUGUCUAGUCCUAUGGGCCCCAGGCCAGGUAAAACACAGCAUGGAGUCUUCUGUCUAGUCCUAUGGGCCCCAGGCCUGGUAAAACACAGCAUGGAGUCUUCUGUCUAGUCUUAUGGGCCCCAGGUAAAACACAGCAUCUGACAAACUGGGAGCUAAGGGACAGCUGUUUGUCACUGGCUGGGUACAUGCAGGUAUGGUGGACGUUGAUGUGGCAACGGCAAGCACUGUUGGGGGAGGAGAUUGCUGUAGCCUCCGUUAUUAUAUGAAGAGGAGAUUAUAAUGAAGGCUACAGACAUAACGAGCUACAUCUAAGUACUUUGGCCUCAACCUUUAAUAAACAACAGCCUUUGAUCUGUUUUCACCCAGUGUACCUGAUGGAACUCACUGACUACCUUUUUAAUGGGCAUCUAUCAUUACUUUUGAAGGUACCGG
ensembl:lncRNA